rnacentral:rRNA from 1 species
UCAUCGCAUGGUGGGGGGUGGAAAGCCUUGUGCGGUCUUGGAUGGGCUCGCGGCCUAUCAGCUUGUUGGUGGGGUGAUGGCCUACCAAGGCGACGACGGGUAGCCGGCCUGAGAGGGUGACCGGCCACACUGGGACUGAGACACGGCCCAGACUCCUACGGGAGGCAGCAGUGGGGAAUAUUGCACAAUGGGCGGAAGCCUGAUGCAGCGACGCCGCGUGGGGGAUGACGGCCUUCGGGUUGUAAACCCCUUUCAGUAGGGAAGAAGCGCAAGUGACGGUACCUGCAGAAGAAGCGCCGGCUAACUACGUGCCAGCAGCCGCGGUAAUACGUAGGGCGCGAGCGUUAUCCGGAAUUAUUGGGCGUAAAGAGCUCGUAGGCGGCUUGUCGCGUCUGCUGUGAAAGCCCGGGGCUCAACCCCGGGUCUGCAGUGGGUACGGGCAGGCUGGAGUGCAGUAGGGGAGACUGGAAUUCCUGGUGUAGCGGUGAAAUGCGCAGAUAUCAGGAGGAACACCGAUGGCGAAGGCAGGUCUCUGGGCUGUAACUGACGCUGAGGAGCGAAAGCAUGGGGAGCGAACAGGAUUAGAUACCCUGGUAGUCCAUGCCGUAAACGUUGGGCACUAGGUGUGGGGGCCAUUCCACGGUUUCCGCGCCGCAGCUAACGCAUUAAGUGCCCCGCCUGGGGAGUACGGCCGCAAGGCUAAAACUCAAAGGAAUUGACGGGGGCCCGCACAAGCGGCGGAGCAUGCGGAUUAAUUCGAUGCAACGCGAAGAACCUUACCAAGGCUUGACAUGUGCCGGACCGUCCCAGAGAUGGGGCUUCCCUUCGGGGCCGGUUCACAGGUGGUGCAUGGUUGUCGUCAGCUCGUGUCGUGAGAUGUUGGGUUAAGUCCCGCAACGAGCGCAACCCUCGUUCCAUGUUGCCAGCACUUCGGGUGGGGACUCAUGGGAGACUGCCGGGGUCAACUCGGAGGAAGGUGGGGACGACGUCAAAUCAUCAUGCCCCUUAUGUCUUGGGCUUCACGCAUGCUACAAUGGCCGGUACAAAGGGUUGCGAUACUGUGAGGUGGAGCCAAUCCCAGAAAGCCGGUCUCAGUUCGGAUUGGGGUCUGCAACUCGACCCCAUGAAGUCGGAGUCGCUAGUAAUCGCAGAUCAGCAACGC